UACCAAAUAACUCCUUAUUUGUGGGUCUGUCAUAUAAAAGAUUCACAUUUUCGUGAUCCUCGUCUAAUUUGGGGUCGAUUCCAUGUAUAAACUCAAAAUACCCCAAAAUUGCUAAUUUUCCUGAACUACUGAACUGUUCAUGAAAAAUCACGAUUUUUGUCAAAUCCGACUUUUAGCAAAAAAACAAGUCAUUCCCAUCCCAAAUUUAAUAAGGAUCACGAAAAUCCUACUCAUUUCGUUAUGGGAUCAUUAUUUCCUGAGAUAUUGGCUACUUCCGGUUACUUCCGGAAAAUUUCCGUGACAAUAUGCAAAAAGUAAAAAAUGAGCUUUAAUGUUCUAACAAUUUCAAAUACUUUUCUCGUAUUCGGUAGGGUGUGGUAGCUAUUAUUCCGUGUUUUUCUUGCUUUCAACACUACAGGCUGAUCCUACGAGCUACGACAGUUUUACCUACAAAUGUUUAGCCGUUACGUGCUGCAACUAGUAGUCUAUUUUCUAGGAUGUAAUGCCUAAAAUUGGAAUUCAGCUAUCAGAGAUUAUCAAAAUUCAAGUACUCUAAAGCAAGUAUUGUACCGUUUUCAACAUUCAAAAUAAAAUAUAAUUUUUGGUUCUAGGCCGAAACUCUAGAUGGCGUUUUUGUGCGUUUAUGAUGAAGAUUAUGAGUGACAAGUUAAGGGGGUGUUUGUUACGUUACGCUGUUAUGUGUUUCAAAGGAUUUUUCGUCAAAACAUUUAUGCUAUGCUAGCUGCUGAACCAGCAACCUGCAUUCCUGCUAUAAAUGUACCACAAGAGAUCCUGACACUUUGAGAAAGCCACUAUUGCUUACAUGAAGAUAACUUCCAGUUCAAGUACUGUUAAUGGACCUCAAGCCUUUUGUUUAAGCUUAGUGAUGUGUUCUCCCGUCAGUCAAUGACAGAGUCUUCAUCUACUUUCUGUUGCUUAACAUCCACCCUCAUCAUCCCAGGUAUCCAGAUUUCCAAGUUUCUCUGAUUAGCCAACCAUCAUCAAAACCCUUCAGCUCUUCAAUGUGGCUUCUCUUCCUCUCUUCUUAAUCUGCUGAAUGCCAACAUUGAAUAAGAUUCAUCAUCAUUACCUUUCCAUGAAAUCUUCAUUGUUAAUCCUGCUGUUCUUCUCACCGUUACUUAGCCAGCUCACAUGGAUAGGCUUUGACAGCAUCUCCAUUUUUUGGACUGCAAAUAUUCAUGUUACUUCGGUACGACACUGCCGUUUUGACAAUUUCGGUAGUUUCGCCCCCAGUGGACCACACGCAACUACAUUUUCUUCGUCUUCCUGUCGUUGUUGUCUACUACUUCACCUCAUCGCUGUCUUCGUUGAUGUCUUCGCCUUCAUCUCCGUCUUGUCAUCUUAGUCGUCUUCGCCUUCAUCUCCGUCCCGUCGUCUUAGUCGUCUUCGCCUUCAUCUCCGUCCCGUCGUCUUAGUCAUCUUUGUCUACGCCAUCACCUCGUCGCCGGUUUCUCUUUCGCCCUUCACGUUGGGAAUUCACCGUGGAUCUUCGCUCUGGUAUUGUUUUGUUUUACAUAAUUAUGUUUAAGUUAACCCGUUGGCUGCCACCCCGUUUGCGUCCCAUUUUUUUUGUAGCUUGUAGGGACCGGCCGCAAUGGCCUUCGCCGCAAGGCGCUUUAGG
rnacentral:lncRNA from 1 species